GCUCUAUACAGGCAAAUCAGGUUCCAAAAAGCAUCAUGUUUCUGGAGGAAGAACACUGACAAAAUCAAAGCAUGUGUGAGGAAGACCCAAGCUGAAGCCAGGAAGGCAUUCAUCUGUCGAGCUCGCAAGGAGAAGCACCAGUGCAAGUUUAUUUUAGCCAACCAAGUCAGUUGCUGGGACCACAGCAUCUCUUCCAGGAAACCAAAAAGCCUCUUAAAACAUCUUCAGAAACUUAACAGGAGCCCAGGGUGAAGUGUUAGAUAGCAGUGGGGAAGUUGAGUGCACACAGAAGGAAUUCAAGUGUUGGAGGAAGCCGGGCUGCUGGACAGAGUCUGCAUCUGCUGCUGAAGGCUACAUUGGUGCUGACACACUGGGUUAUUUCUGCCAUGAUAUUACCCGAGUGUCCAAUUAAAGACAAGGUUAAACAUGGUUUGAGAUCAAUGUUGUGAGUACUUGCAAGAGGAGAUUUCAGAUUUUGCUUUAGUGUUUGAAAGGUCAGAAGCUUUACAGCUCCUGCUAAUCUUCACUGAGAUGCCUCCCAAACAGCCUCUCAGGUAGCA